CUACGUGCCAGCAGCCGCGGUAAUACGGAGGGUGCGAGCGUUAAUCGGAAUAACUGGGCGUAAAGGGCACGCAGGCGGUGACUUAAGUGAGGUGUGAAAGCCCCGGGCUUAACCUGGGAAUUGCAUUUCAUACUGGGUCGCUAGAGUACUUUAGGGAGGGGUAGAAUUCCACGUGUAGCGGUGAAAUGCGUAGAGAUGUGGAGGAAUACCGAAGGCGAAGGCAGCCCCUUGGGAAUGUACUGACGCUCAUGUGCGAAAGCGUGGGGAGCAAACAGGAUUAGAUACCCUGGUAGUCCACGCUGUAAACGAUGUCGAUUUGGGGGUUGAACUUUAAGUUUGGCGCCCGUAGCUAACGUGAUAAAUCGACCGCCUGGGGAGUACGGCCGCAAGGUUAAAACUCAAAUGAAUUGACGGGGGCCCGCACAAGCGGUGGAGCAUGUGGUUUAAUUCGAUGCAACGCGAAGAACCUUACCUACUCUUGACAUCCAGAGAACAUUC
rnacentral:rRNA from 1 species